UACGGAGGGUGCAAGCGUUAUCCGGAUUCACUGGGUUUAAAGGGUGCGUAGGUGGGUAGGUAAGUCAGUGGUGAAAUCUCCGGGCUUAACUCGGAAACUGCCGUUGAUACUAUCUGUCUUGAAUAUCGUGGAGGUUAGCGGAAUAUGUCAUGUAGCGGUGAAAUGCUUAGAUAUGACAUAGAACACCCAUUGCGAAGGCAGCUAACUACACGAUCAUUGACACUGAGGCACGAAAGCGUGGGGAGCAAACAGG
rnacentral:rRNA from 1 species